rnacentral:rRNA from 1 species
AACGAACGCCGGCGGCAGGCUUAACACAUGCAAGUCGAGCGCCCCGCAAGGGGAGCGGCAGACGGGUGAGUAACGCGGGGGAAUCUACCCAUCUCUACGGAAUAACGCAUGGAAACGUGUGCUAAUACCGUAUACGUCCUUCGGGAGAAAGAUUUAUCGGAGAUGGAUGAGCCCGCGUUGGAUUAGCUAGUUGGUGGGGUAAAGGCCUACCAAGGCGACGAUCCAUAGCUGGUCUGAGAGGAUGAUCAGCCACACUGGGACUGAGACACGGCCCAGACUCCUACGGGAGGCAGCAGUGGGGAAUAUUGGACAAUGGGCGCAAGCCUGAUCCAGCCAUGCCGCGUGAGUGAUGAAGGCCCUAGGGUUGUAAAGCUCUUUCACCGGUGAAGAUAAUGACGGUAACCGGAGAAGAAGCCCCGGCUAACCUCGUGCCAGCCGCCGCGGUAAAAC